UACGUAGGGGGCUAGCGUUGUCCGGAAUCACUGGGCUUAAAGGGCGCGUAGGCGGGUUCGCAAGUCAGGGGUGAAAUCUUUCAGCUUAACUGGAAAACAGCUCCUGAUACUGCGAGUCGUCGAGGGAGGUGAGGGGCAUGUGGAACUUCCGGUGGAGCGGUGAAAUGCGUAGAUAUCGGAAGGAACGCCGGUGGCGAAAGCGACGUGCUGGACCUCUUCUGACGCUGAGGCGCGAAAGCUAGGGGAGCAAACGGG
rnacentral:rRNA from 1 species